rnacentral:tRNA from 1 species
GCAGUGGUGGUUCAAUGGUGGAAUUCUCAUCUUCCACGCAGGAGACCCAGGUUCAAUUCCUGGCCAAUGUA